GAUGAACGCUGGCGGCGUGCCUAAUACAUGCAAGUCGAGCGAACGGACGAGAAGCUUGCUUUUCUGAUGUUAGCGGCGGACGGGUGAGUAACACGUGGAUAACCUACCUAUAAGACUGGGAUAACUUCGGGAAACCGGAGCUAAUACCGGAUAAUAUUUUGAACCGCAAGGUUCAAAAGUGAAAGACGGUCUUGCUGUCACUUAUAGAUGGAUCCGCUCUGCAUUAGCUAGUUGGUAAGGUAACGGCUUACCAAGGCAACGAUUCAUAGCCGACCUGAGGGGGUGAUCGGCCACACUGGAACUGAGACCCGGUCCAGACUCCUACGGGGGGCAGCAGUAGGGAAUCUUCCGCAAUGGGCGAAAGCCUGACGGAGCAACGCCGCGUGAGUGAUGAAGGUCUUCGGAUCGUAAAACUCUGUUAUUAGGGAAGAACAUAUUUGUAAGUAACUGUGCACAUCUUGACGGUACCUAAUCAGAAAGCCACGGCUAACUACGUG
rnacentral:rRNA from 1 species